rnacentral:misc_RNA from 1 species
UACGUAGGCGGUAAGCGUUGUCCGGAAUUAUUGGGCGUAAAGCGCGCGCAGGCGGUCUUUUAAGUCUGAUGUGAAAGCCCACGGCUCAACCGGGGAGGGUCAUUGGAAACUGGAAGACUUGAGUGCAGAAGAGGAGAGCGGAAUUCCACGUGUAGCGGUGAAAUGCGUAGAGAUGUGGAGGAACACCAGUGGCGAAGGCGGCUCUUUGGGCUGUAACUGACGCUGAGGCGCGAAAGCGUGGGGAGCGAACAGG